AUACGUAGAGGGCAAGCGUUGUCCGGAAUUACUGGGCGUAAAGGGUACGCAGGCGGAUAUAUAAGUCAAAUGUGAAAGGCACCGGCUCAACCGGUGAGUGGCAUUUGAAACUGUAUAUCUUGAGUUCAGGAGAGGAGAGCGGAAUUCCUGGUGUAGCGGUGGAAUGCGUAGAUAUCAGGAAGAACACCAGUGGCGAAGGCGGCUCUCUGGCCUGAAACUGACGCUCAGGUACGAAAGCUGGGGGAGCGAAAGGGAUUAGAUACGCCGGUAGUCCCAGCCGUAAACGAUGGACACUAGGUGUUGGGGGUUCGAAUCCUUCAGUGCCGAAGCAAACGCAUUAAGUGUCCCGCCUGGGGAGUACGGUCGCAAGGCUGAA
rnacentral:rRNA from 1 species